CUACAGGUUUCAUUUUGUUGCAGACCUUAUUGGACUGAACAAAGGAAGAUGAAGGUAUUGCUGCCUUUAAGCCAGACCUGAUCAUUUUUCUGGAGCAAGGAAAAGAGCCCUGGAAUAUGAAGAGACAUAAGAUGGUGGAAGAACCCCCAGGAUAGG
rnacentral:lncRNA from 1 species